UCAAACAUCGCCUCCUGCAAAAAUCAAUGUAUAAGAGGUCCUGCCUGCCCGGUGACUUAAGUUUAACGGCCGCGGUAUUUUGACCGUGCAAAGGUAGCGCAAUCACUUGUUUUUUAAAUAAAGACCUGUAUGAAUGGUGGAACGAGGGCUUAACUGUCUCCCUUUUCUGAUCAGUGAAAUUGAUUUACCCGUGCAGAAGCGGGUAUAAAUAUACAAGACGAGAAGACCCUAUGGAGCUUUAGACAUUAGAUCAACUAUGCUUAUACCUCUAUUAAGAGUAAAACAAAACAGUAACUGAUCGACGUCUUCGGUUGGGGCGACCACGGGGGCAAAAAAAUCCCCCAUGUGGAGUGGGACACUCUCCUAAAACCACGAGAUACAUCUCUAAGUCACAGAACUUCUGACCAAAAGAUCCGGCAACAGCCGAUCAACGAACCAAGUUACCCUAGGGAUAACAGCGCAAUCCCCUCCAAGAGUCCAUAUCGACAAGGGGGUUUACGACCUCGAUGUUGGAUCAGGACAUCCUAAUGGUGCAGCCGCUAUUAAGGGUUCGUUUGUUCAACGAUUAAAGUCCUACGUGA
rnacentral:rRNA from 1 species